GACAUGCCGCGACCGCCGAUCGACCGGUGUUUGCUAACGCGGAGGUCAAUCGUGGAUCAGGGAAAGCGAAGGCAGGAGCGUGAGGUGAACUGAAUUUCAGGUAAGAAGUUGUGACCUGCACUGUAUUUGGGUCAGAUAUAAACCGAGUUUAGGUGUAGUUUAUUUUCGUUGUGCUGACUUUUUCAAUCACUUACAAUGACUCGUACUGCGUGCUAGCUAGCACUACGGAGUUUGUAUACAGCUGUGUGCGCGCUAAGUUACCGAUGUUACCGAUGUUGAACUUUAUGACAGCCUCCCCUGUCAUUCUCUC
ensembl:lncRNA